rnacentral:rRNA from 1 species
GUCAGGAUGAACGCUAGCUACAGGCUUAACACAUGCAAGUCGAGGGGCAGCAUGAGAUUAGCUUGCUAAUCUGAUGGCGACCGGCGCACGGGCGCGUAACACGUAUCCAAUCUACCCAUGGCUCGGGGAUAGCCUUUCGAAAGAAAGAUUAAUACCCGAUGGUCUGCGAUUGAGACAUCUCGAUUGCAGUAAAGACUUGUCGGCGAUGGAUGGGGAUGCGUCCGAUUAGCUAGUUGGCGGGGUAACGGCCCACCAAGGCAACGAUCGGUAGGGGUUCUGAGAGGAAGGUCCCCCACACUGGAACUGAGACACGGUCCAGACUCCUACGGGAGGCAGCAGUGAGGAAUAUUGGUCAAUGGGCGAUGGCCUGAACCAGCCAAGUAGCCGUGAGGGACGACGGCCCUACGGGUUGUAAACCUCUUUUGUAUGGGAAUAAAGUGAGGCACGUGUGCCUUUUUGUAUGUACCUUACGAAUAAGCAUCGGCUAAUUCCGUGCCAGCCGCUGC